AAGACCUUAUGCUUUUGGAGCGGCCGAUGCCUGAUUAGCUAGUUGGUAGGGUAAAGGCCUACCAAGGCUACGAUCAGUAGUUGGUCUGAGAGGACGACCAGCCACACUGGGACUGAGACACGGCCCAGACUCCUACGGGAGGCAGCAGUGGGGAAUUUUGGACAAUGGGCGAAAGCCUGAUCCAGCAAUGCCGCGUGAGUGAAGAAGGCCUUCGGGUUGUAAAGCUCUUUCAGUCGAGAAGAAAAAGUUGUGACUAAUAAUCACAAUUUAUGACGGUACCGACAGAAGAAGCACCGGCUAACUACGUGCCAGCAGCCGCGGUAAUACGUAGGGUGCAAGCGUUAAUCGGAAUUACUGGGCGUAAAGGGUGCGCAGGCGGUUCUGUAAGUCAGAUGUGAAAUCCCCGGGCUUAACCUGGGAAUU
rnacentral:rRNA from 1 species